rnacentral:rRNA from 1 species
GACGAACGCUGGCGGCGUGCUUAAUACAUGCAAGUCGAACGGAAAGGCCCUGCUUUUGUGGGGUGCACGAGUGGCGAAGGGGGGAGUAACACGUGAGUAACCUGCCCUUGACUGUGGGAUAACUUCUGGAAACUGGGGCUAAUAUCGGAUAGGAGCUCCUGCUGCAUGGGGGGGGUUGGAAAGAUUCGGCGGUUGUGGAUGGACUCGCGGCUUAUCAGCUUGUUGGUGGGGUAGUGGCUUCCCACGGCUUUGACGGGUAGCCGGCCUGGGAGGGUGACCGGCGACAUUGGGACUGCGAUACGGCCCAGACUCGUACGGGAGGCAACAGUGGGGAAUAUUGCGCAAUGGGCGGAAGCCUGAUGCAGCAACGCCGCGUGCGGGAUGACGUCCUUCGGGUUGUAAACCGCUUUCGCCUGUGACGAAGCGUGCGUGACGGUACUGGGUAAAGAAGCACCGGCUAACUACGUG